GCAUAAAACAACUUGUGACCGUACCGCAAACCGACACAGGUAGAUAAGUAGAGAAUACUCAGGCGCUUGAGAGAACUCGGGUGAAGGAACUAGGCAAAAUAGCACCGUAACUUCGGGAGAAGGUGUGCCUUAAGUAAGUGAAACAUUAACUUGUCAAGCUGAACAAGGUCGCAGUGACUAGGGGGUUGCGACUGUUUACUAAAAACACAGCACUCUGCAAACACGUAAGUGGACGUAUAGGGUGUGACGCCUGCCCGGUGCUGGAAGGUUAAUUGAUGGGGUUAGCAGCAAUGCGAAGCUCUUGAUCGAAGCCCCAGUAAACGGCGGCCGUAACAAUAACGGUCCUAAGGUAGCGAAAAUUCCUUGUCGGGUAAGUUCCGACCUGCACGAAUGGCGUAACGACAGCCCCCGCUGUCUCCACCCGAGACUCAGUGAAAUUGAAAUUGCUGUGAAGAUGCAGUAUACCCGCGG
rnacentral:rRNA from 1 species